AGCCUCGUAGUGAGUGACACAUCAAAUUGCAAAUUUGAAAGCGUUCCUGUUUGGUUCCGGGGCUU
rnacentral:tRNA from 2 species